CCUACGGGCGGCAGCAGUGGGGAAUAUUGCACAAUGGGGGAAACCCUGAUGCAGCGACGCCGCGUGAGUGAAGAAGUAUUUCGGUACGUAAAGCUCUAUCAGCAGGGAAGAAAAUGACGGUACCUGACUAAGAAGCCCCGGCUAACUACGUGACAGCAGCCGCGGUAAUACGUAGGGGGCAAGCGUUAUCCGGAUUUACUGGGUGUAAAGGGAGCGUAGACGGCAGCGCAAGUCUGGAGUGAAAUCCCAUGGCUUAACCAUGGAACUGCUUUGGAAACUGUGCAGCUAGAGUGCAGGAGAGGUAAGCGGAAGUCCUGGUGUAGCGGUGAAAUGCGUAGAUAUUAGGAGGAACACCAGUGGCGAAGGCGGCUUACUGGACUGUAACUGACGUUGAGGCUCGAAAGCGUGGGGAGCAAACAGGAUUAGAUACCCGAGUAGUC
rnacentral:rRNA from 1 species